GAUGAAGAACGUAGCGAAAUGCGAUAAGUAAUGCGAAUUGCAGAUCUCCGUGAGUCAUUGAAUCUUUGAACGCUCAUUGCGCCCUCGGGUAUUCCCGAGGGCAUGCCUGUCCGAGCGUCAUUAUCCAACCAUCAAGCUCGGCUUGCGGUUGAGCCCCGCACCGUCCCCGGGACGGUGGGCUCGAAACAUGUUGGGCGCCCGUGAGGUUGUCGGUGCAGCGAGCUCUCGAGCACGUGCCGGGCAACCGCUCUGGGCGUCGGCCAGCCCCCCCAUUUUCUCAGGUUGACCUCGGAUCAGGUAGGAAUACCCGCUGAACUUAAGCAUAUCAAUAAGCGGAGGA
rnacentral:misc_RNA from 1 species